CAAAUUUAGUUUUCAACCGCCAUACAAGUAUUUUUUUUUUGUUCUGAUCUUGACUUUUCUUUGCCACCCCCUUUCUCCCUAUCUUGCUCUCUCCUCAUCCCCUGUUAUGAUGUUUGAGUAAACACAUAGGUUUGUGCAAACGAGCAGAAAUCUAAUAAAAUAUCUUGUCGAUUGACAGACAGCAAAGACCUUGAUGUGAUCACGUGAUUGUUGAAUGAACGCUGAUGCAAUGGUGUAAUUUAGGAAGAGUCAUAAAAUCACAGCCGAACAGUGGAUUCGUAGUUAAAAUUUGAUCCGUUCGGUUACAUCAACUGAACAAAUAAAGCAACAAACAUUUAAUGCAAUUAUAAGAAUCAUGGUCUGAUUAUAUCAUAACAUGCUUUUGUUGUUGAGCCCUAGGUCAGCAAAGAUCGAAUAUACUUAUGAUCAAAAAGCGUUCUAGUCAUCACCAUGUCACAUGAUCCAACAUGUCCUUCCUUCUUUGUAAAGAUAGCACAUUGAGAGUUGAUUAAAAUUUGGCUGCUGUUUCUAGCAGAAUCAUUUGCGCAUCGGACAAAAUAGUUUACCGUGUUUAGUUUCUUUACAUUCUGAGUUCCUAUCCCGCCAAGUUCAAUAUUACCUUUCACCCUUCUGGGAUCGAUAACAGGAAAUACCAGACGAAUAUACCAGUCGACGCCGCGAAGAAACACAGCCACAAUCAUAUGGUUCUCCCGUUGAGUAACACACAAGUUAUGCAGACGUUCUUAUUUGCUUAUCGAAUUAUAAUCAACGUUUAUUGCUUCCAAAAUGGAGUUGUAUAGCUUCUGUCAUCUAAUCUGAAUUUUCUGUCUAGUCUCGACGUGAGACAAAGUGUGUUUAAUGCAUUGAGCAAUAGAUUUUGUCGAUGAA